CAGUUGCUGCUGGGAGAUUAGGGAGUGAGGACUGUGUCCCUGGAGGGCUGAGAGAACUGCUGAUGUCCUACAAUAAGAAAGGAUUUCCUGUCCCUAAAGGGAAUACUUCUCCUCAACUAUCACUGUUUUAUUAGUAAAUACACAGCAUAGUGAUCAGGGCAACUCGCAUUCAGCAAAAUCAAACAGCAGCAUGAAAGGUGGCGAGGACCAGCAAGAGGAAGACUGCACAAAUGCAAAUGGGAAAAAAAUCCGAAGAUUUAAAAAGGAACCAAGGAGCACUAAGUAAGAGUUGAAAAGGAAGCCAGAGCUAGUGUUUCAGUGCAGAGGGCUGUCUAGUGCUGCCUGUGACGGGCCUGGCUCUACAAGGGAUGAGGUGAAGGCAGAUUAAGUGGAGUCCAUCUCUGUCACAACGCGCAAGCAUUUCUGUACAGUCCCAGCCAGCUUUCCUCCCAUGGGAGGGGCAACAAUAUUUAUGGGCCUUGGGUUUUUUGCUGGUUGCAAAGUUGUUUGGCCACAAGAUACAGUUUGGUAGGAAGCUUUGAAAUAAAGAUGGAAGGAGUUAAUCUCUAAAAUUAAA